AUAAUUUGGGACCAAUUUGUUUCUCAUUAAAUUAAAUUUCAACAAAAGAACCAUUAACAAAUCUUAAUCCUACAAACUUUUCCUUUUCACAUCUAUCACCUACAUUUCUAAUCUUCCAUUUUUUCAUCCUUCUAAAAUUACCCCAACAUUUUCUCAGAUUUACAUUUUCCACCCCAAAAUCUCAACGCCACCUUCUUACAUAGCUUGUAAAGACUCCGACCGCCACAAAACAUCCGCCGCCGCCGGUUCACCAUAUUCAAACAACCCAUCCCCAGUCACAAAAUCUUCAGCACCACCGUCACUCUCCGACAACAACCCAGUUCCAUAACCAAACCCAUCAAAACCGGUAAAAUCAUCAUCAAACCCAACAAAACCGGUCAAGUCCACCUUGUCCGGUUCAUCCGAACCCGGUUCAUUUAAACCCGGUUCAGUCACAGUUGGUGGCAACCCAAGUUCAUCAUCAGAAGCCUCAAACAAGUAACCUAAGUUCAUCUCCAUCUCACCUGAACCGGUCAUUUGAACCAGGUCGACCUGAACCGGUUCCGGUUCAGUCAGACCUGGUUCAGUCCCAGGUGCAAAAAUCUCUUCUUCAAAGCUUUUGAUAACUGAGUCAAGACCCAUCACUGAGUCAGGCUCAGAAUCACGUUCAUGAGCAUUGUUUUCAUCAUCAAGUAUAUUAAAAAUCUCAUCCGAAUCAAAAACCUGACUCGACUCACUCGAGUCGACUCGGGUAAGCUGAGUUUCAGUCUUUGUUUCAGUUAAGUUAACAUCAUCAGAAUCAGAAAAGGAGUUAAUCUUACGAAUCUUAGCAUGAACUGAGUCAACACAGUGAGUUUGAGUUUCAUCAAACUCAUCAUCAACUCUCUUUCUCUUGUCGGUGGAAUUCUCCAUAUUUUGGAGAGAAAGAAAAUGAAGAGAAAGAAAAUAAAGGGUGGAAAUGAAAUGAAGUG
rnacentral:lncRNA from 1 species